AUUGAACGCUGGCGGCAGGCCUAACACAUGCAAGUCGAACGAGUGGCGGACGGGUGAGUAAUGUAUGGGAAACUGCCUGAUGGAGGGGGAUAACUACUGGAAACGGUAGCUAAUACCGCAUACCAUCAGAUGUGCCCACAUGGGAUUAGCUAGUGGGUGAGGUAACGGCUUACCAAGGCGACGAUCCCUAGCUGGUCUGAGAGGAUGAUCAGCCACACUGGAACUGAGACACGGCCCAGACUCCUACGGGAGGCAGCAGUGGGGAAUAUUGCACAAUGGGCGCAAGCCUGAUGCAGCCAUGCCGCGUGUAUGAAGAAGGCCUUCGGGUUGUAAAGUACUUUCAGUAGGGAGGCGUUACCCACAGAAGAAGCACCGGCUAACUCCGUGCCAGCAGCCGCGGUAAUUC
rnacentral:rRNA from 1 species